CUGUGCAGGGGCUCCAUGGUUCCUAGAGGCAAGGAAGAAGAGCCACCAGUCAAAUAGGUUUCAGCACCUCCAACUCCAACAUCUUCAAAGCAGCGACUGGGAAGAAAAAUAAUCCUUCUGACAACACAUAUUCAGACACAUAUGGUCAGCCUCAUGAAGCUCUGGAUACCCAUGCUCAUGACAUUCUUCUGUACGGUGCUACUGUCUGUGCUGGGAGAAAUGAGGAAGAAAAGAUAUGACAGGAAGGAAUUGUUACUUGAAGAAUGCUGGGGAAAGCCAAAUGUCAAAGAAUGUACCAAUAAGUGUUCUAAAGCCUUUAGAUGUAAAGACAAAAAUUACACAUGCUGCUGGACCUAUUGUGGAAACAUCUGCUGGAUAAACGUCGAAACCAGUGGAGAUUACUAAAACCGUAGCUUCCCACCAGGCUGCCACCUGUGUGGGCUGGGAAAUGUUUAAGAGGUCUCAUAGUAGUACCCUGUGGCUACUUUUAGGAACACCAGUCUAUUUUUACUGAGAGCUGGACAACAGCAAACACUUGACAAAUAAACUUAUUUACCAGUA
rnacentral:lncRNA from 1 species